CCAGUUCUGCAUUGAGAAGGGCCGGGGAUGUGGUGGAAGCUAGGUGCCACCAAGUAGGGGGGUGUAGAUUCACAGCGGUCUAUUCUGGUCCCUCUUGGGAAGGUUCAAAAGCCAGUUUUGGCCACUUGUGCUCUUCUGCUGUGCCUAGACAGGAUCGUUUCUGAUGGUUAUAUGCAUGGUAGUGGCUGAGUUAGUUAAUGUUCCAUAUAAAGAAACUGUCAUGUGACACCAGUACCUCCUAAAAUUGGUCAGUGUGGUAGAUGGUUUAGAGAAAAAAGGAACCUGUUCCACAGGGCUGUGACCAUUCGAGGGAAGCACAUUCAAAGAUGUAGAUCCCCUCAGAGAAGUUUUCCAUUUCCCUGAAAUUAAAGAUCUUCAAAUGACUGCAAAUAACAUGAGGAUAUAUAGAAAAAUGCCCUUCCCCAAUUUCCAAAUCAUGAAAAUUUGGCUCAGCAGGAUCUGAACGUCUAUGACACUCUUUCGAGCUGACACAGUGAAGAACAUGGAAGGAGAACUCACCCAGUCUGCCAGGGUCACAGAUGAUCAUACUCAAGAUCUUCCUGGGGAGUCAAUGGCAAAUUUCACUGGGCUAUUUUACAGAUGAAGAAGGAACAUAAAGAAGGUUCUGGGACCCU
rnacentral:lncRNA from 1 species